UCAAACGAUAAACGAUUCAGCUACACGGAUAACUUAGGAAAUACUAGUUAGGGUAUGAAUUAUCACAUCUAUUGCAUUUUUGAUUUUUAUGCAUUGUGCAGCAUAUGAAAUAGCGCCACCAACAUAAGUUUUAUACUUCGCCAUGCAUUUUCGGAAAUUAUUGUUUUGUAUAGAUAUUGGCUAUGUUUUGCUGCACUUUGGACUUGGUGUUUUUUCAUUCCCAGUUUAAUAUGCAGCUGCAGGCACUCACGUCGAGGUAAAAAAAAACACGUUGCUAUUUCGCGUGGUAAUUCGUGAACAUUUUCUUACGUUCGUCGGUGCUAUUUUACGCUACAUUUCUUCAGAACUCAAGUGUCCAACAACAAACUGAUGUGAGCCAAAAUUGAGAAGGAAAUGGAAAAGUUCCUGACGAUCGCCAACAGACGAGCUGAUUAGGAUUCCUAGCAAAUGAACUAAACCAACCAACCGACGAUUCCAGAGGAAAUUUCCCCAACGUUCUGGAAAACAUAAGAGUUUCAAGGCGAGUGUGUAUUUAGCAGCCGCCGGGAUGACUCCAAAGAUAAUUCCAAUCCAUAUAACCCUCACUGAUUGUUCAUCUUUGGCAGUAGUGGAGUAUGUUUUUUUAUUAAAUAAAUGGUGAAUUUUCUACCAAUUAUUAGUUUCA